rnacentral:lncRNA from 1 species
GUCAUAAAUAUGAUCAUUUGCUCAAUGCAGUUCAAUUUUCUAUCUAGCUAGCAAACGUCUUUUUUUUUUUUUUUUUUUUUUUUUUUUUUUUUACAAGAAAUGCAGGAUUUAAUGCCUCUGAGAAGAACAGCCACAAUCUAACCAUCUUGUCAAUUCCAUUCCCUGGAACCUCAGGAGUUGAGUCUUCUUGCCAGUUUCACGGAGUCCACAUCGGCCUUCUUUUUCUAUUCCUCAAUCUUCCAUUUCAGACAGUGUUGGUAAUUGGUUUUUAAUCGGUUCAUUUACCUGAAUGCUUUAUACUGCCUCAGAAACUCUACUAUCAUGUUUCCAAAGAAAAUGGUGUGUUCUGGGUUUCCUUGACUACCUUCUGAAAGUCAUCAAAAGGAAGGAAAGUUGAUGGUGUUUGCAGCCUGGAAACUCAGGCCUUGAGGAGACAGAGGAAAACUGGGUUAAUAAUCACUUGUGUGAAAAAGAAAUAUAUUUAAGUUUAUUUCAUACGGAGGAGGAAAUUCUGGAAAAAAAAAAAAAGAAAAAAGAAAAACCAAAAAGAGAAGAAAAAAAGAAGCACACGUCAAAAGAUAAAAUAGUGCAGCAGAAGGAUUCAUUGCCUAGGUUAGAAGAAUUUUCACUAUGA